rnacentral:rRNA from 1 species
UACAUGGGGUGCAAACGUUGCUCGGAAUUAUUGGGCGUAAAGCGCACGUAGGCGGUUCGUUAAGUCGGAUGUGAAAGCCCUCGGCUCAACUGAGGAAGUGCACCCGAAACUGGCGAGCUUGAGUACGAAAGAGGAUCGCGGAAUUCCCGGUGUAGAGGUGAAAUUCGUAGAUAUCGGGAGGAACACCGGUGGCGAAGGCGGCGAUCUGGGUCGAUAC